GAUGAACGCUGGCGGCGUGCUUAACACAUGCAAGUCGAACGAUGAAGCCCAGCUUGCUGGGUGGAUUAGUGGCGAACGGGUGAGUAACACGUGAGUAACCUGCCCUUAACUCUGGGAUAAGCCUGGGAAACUGGGUCUAAUACCGGAUAGGAGCGUCCACCGCAUGGUGGGUGUUGGAAAGAUUUAUCGGUUUUGGAUGGACUCGCGGCCUAUCAGCUUGUUGGUGAGGUAAUGGCUCACCAAGGCGAAGACGGGUAGCCGGCCUGAGGGGGUGACCGGCCACACUGGGACUGAGACACGGCCCAGACUCCUACGGGAGGCAGCAGUGGGGAAUAUUGCACAAUGGGCGCAAGCCUGAUGCAGCGACGCCGCGUGAGGGAUGACGGCCUUCGGGUUGGAAACCUCUUUCAGUAGGGAAGAAGCGAAAGUGACGGUACCUGCAGAAGAAGCACCGGCUAACUACGUG
rnacentral:rRNA from 1 species